rnacentral:lncRNA from 9 species
UGGAUAUAGUUCCCUGUGCUGUACAGUAGUACCUUAUCCAUUAAAUGUAAUAAUUUGCAUCUACCAACCUCAAACUCCCAGUCCAUCCCACUCCCUCCCCCCAACCCCUUGGCAACCACAAGUCUGUUCUCCAUGUCUAUGAGUCUGUUUCUGUUUUGUAUAUAGGUUCAUUUGUGCCAUAUUUUAGAUUCCACGUAUUAGUGAUAGUAUGUGAUAUUUGUCUUUCUCUUUCUGACUUAUUUCACUUUGUACGAGAAUCUCUAUUUGCAUCCAUGUUGCUGCAGAUGCCAUGAUUUCUUCCUUUUUUAUGGCUGAGUAGUAUUCCGUUGUAUACAUGUACUACGUCUUCUUAGUCCGUUCAUCUGUUGAUGGCAUUUAUGUUUUUUCCAUGUCUUAGCUAUUGUGAAUUGGGCUGCUAUGAACAUAGAAGUGCAUGUAUCUUUUUUUCCAAAAUGAUUAUUUAAUGGCUUCAUGUUAAUUACACUAAGUUGCAUUAAAUUUAAGUAAUAUUAAAAUUAAUUACCAAUGAACUCUUUUAUUCUUUCUUUUUUCUUUCUGAGUCUUCCAAGUCCAGCAUAUUUUACACUGCCAGCACUUCUCAAUUCAGACUAACCAUAGUUCCAAUGCUCAAUGGCCACAUGUUGUUAGCGGCUACUGAGCUGGAUGGUACAGCUCUAGAUAACUGCACAAAUAUUGUAUCCUGACUCUGUGUUGACUGUUCAGCUGCAUGGAGAAUAUUAGAUGCUUUAUGACAGAAGCUAAAGAAAAAAAGUGUGGGAAAACAUUUUAUAUUACUGUGGGGUCUGUCCUUGAAAUCUGAUUUUAAUGCGUAAUUAAACUUAGACCCAGAAUGUUUUAUUAGCCCUCUAGCAACAAAAACAAACAACUUCAAAUUACCAUUGCUUACUCUUAUUUGUUCUCUUCCCCUCUCCCCUCCCCCAUUUUUUUUUUUCCCUAAAAGUAGCUGGGACUGAAAAGAGUGAGGUAAACGAUGGAACAGCAUGCCCUAAACCCACAUCCUGCAAAAUGUGAUAAGUUGCCCUAGGCAACAGUGGUUGUCAACUUUUUUUUUUUUUUUCUUUUUAGCUUCCACCUGCUAGUUCACAAACACAACAUACCUUCAUCAACAGCAACUGUCUUUGCCAGUGAUUCUCAACUGCAGAAAUAAACCUCCCUUUCAGGGCAGAGAGAGAGUGAUACAUUUGGAUUGUGGAGUUGGAGGUGCCAUGGGUGUGGUUUGAAAAAGCCUCAGGGAGCUUCUGAUGCAGUUUCUCUCUUGUUCAGAAUGGUUAAGAAUCUCUGUCCCAGACCCGCUACUUCCAUAUGUCCUUCCUAGUGACUUAGUCUUUUAAAAAUAUGCCUGGACCAUGAAAAAAAAAAUGGCAGACAAAAGUAACCAUCAGUUACUUGGGACUUGGGAACAUGCGUGGUGAUAUGUGAAUAAGUGACUGAUGUUCGUUUCCACUGGUGGUUUUAGAAGGAGAAUAGAGUAAUAAAAAUCAUGAUGAUAAUGGUGAUAACAAUAUCAGCUGAUAUUAGUACCACUAAUAUCACUUUAUAUGUGCCAGAUGCUAUAGUAAGCACUUUAUAGACAUCUUCUCAUCCCUGUGACAUAGGGACUGUUUUCACUGCUGUUUUAUGAAUGAGGAAACUAAAUCAACAGAGAGGUUAAAUCACUUGCCAGGAUCACCCAGCAGUUGAGUGUAUUUACUGGGUACACAGUGUGUGUCACAUUCUUGGGUGAAAAUGCAAGAGUCCAUGCCUCAAGUCAGUGUGAUGUGAAAGACAGACAUGAAGUCAAUUGUAUUAGAGCUGGAAAUAUGGAUACUGUAAGAGCAGCAUUAGCAAAGGAGCUGCCAUAUUCCACCUCUUAAUAGUCAUAGUCUCUGUCUUCAGAAGACCACGUUUGGGGUUUUGGGGUUUUUUUGCGUGUGUGUCUUUUUAGGACCGCAUCCCUGGCAUGUGAAGUCCCCAGGCUAGAGGUCAAAUCGGAGCUGUAGCCAGCUGACCUAUGCCACAGCCACAGCAACCUCCGAUUGGACCCCUAGCCUGGGAACGGCCCAAUAAAUAGCAAAAAGACAAAAAAAAAAAAGGCAAAAAAAAUUUUUUUUCACAGAUUUCAAAUAAAAAUCAGUGGCCCAAUAAAUAGCAAAAAGACAAAAAAAAAAUCAAAAAAAAAUUUUCACUGAUUUCAAAUAGACUGUACAAGGCCAGUUAAGUUGGCCCAAGAGAUGUCCUCUGGUUCUCUGUUGAGUAUUGUUUGAUAAUGUGUGUAAUUUUAGAGAUGCUUCUGUUUCCUGUUUUACAUUACCCAGAAGUUUUAGCUUCCCCCCUCCCCCAAACAUUGCAAGAACCUUUAACCAUGUGCUGCGUUGCUCCGUGAACCACUUCCUCUUGAGGAGUGCUUUCAUUGCAUUUUGAAAAAAAACACCACACUGAAGGAAUUAGGUAAAAGUCAAUAUUGUCCGUUAUUUUCCAGUUGUACUGCACACUAGCUAUUCCAUGGUGUCCACCAGCAUUUGUGAUCAUCUGGAUUCUGCACUGCAUAUUCCACACUAAGUGUGAUUCCUAUCACCAACAGACCUGUUUUGAAUUAGAUCCUCUUUUGUAUUUGUAAUGUGUGGGCUGAUAUUUUUCCUUGAAAAAAUGAACAUAGCUGCCUAUUUUUUAAGUUUAAAAAUAAUUAAAAAAAAACCAAAGUGAAUUGAUACUGACAAAGCCUCAAGUUUUUCAACCUUCUUUCUCAUGAAUUCUAGUUAUAUUGUCGCUCUGGCAAUCUAGCUAUGGACUCAGAAAUCCACUCAUUUGCACUAAUACAUGAAAACGUUACAGCGUGGAUGAAACUUGAGGACAGGUAUUUCGUUCCACUUACACGAGAUAACAUUAGAGUGGCCACAUUCAUGAAGGCAGAAAGUGGGAUGGUGGAUCCCCCAGGGUCAGGGGCUUAAUGAGGAUGGGGAAUUAUUACUGAAUGGGUAUGAAGUUUCAUUUGGGGAAGAUGAAAAAGUUUGGGAAAUAAGUGGUAGUAAUGGUUGCACAACAACGUACACUGAAAAAUUACUAGAAUGGUAAAUUUCGCGUUACGUAUAUUCCACUUCGUUUUUUUUUUUUUUUUUCUUUUUGACUGUGCCUGAGGCAUGUGGAAGUUCCCAGGCCAGGGGUCAAACAUGCACUGCAGCCAGAGAACUUCUCUACUUCAUUUUUUUUUUAAUUUACCAAAAAUACAUGGGGAGUGAAAAAAAUAACAUUUCAAUGCAAGGAGGCAAACACUGUUCCUCUUCUUCAACAUGGAAAGAUGUACUAUAUGUGUAGAUGACAUCUAGGGGUGUAAUCCUGACACACUGAUGAAGAGAAACACAGGAGUGGAAGACCGACUGAGGAAAAUCUUCCAGAAGUUGGUUUGAGCCUAGAACGGUGUCUGGGAUCAACAAAUAUUUGUGGGCCGACUUAGAUUGUGUAACCUCAGGCAAGCAAGUUAAUCUCUGGGUGCCUUCGUUUCCUCAUCUGUAAAGCAGGGCAACAUGUCC